GGUUGUGGCUCGUUGGUAGAGUGCUUGCCUAGCAUGCGUGAGGCACUGGGUUCAAUCCCCAACACCA
rnacentral:tRNA from 1 species